AUUGAACGCUGGCGGCAGGCCUAACACAUGCAAGUCGAGCGAGCGGCGGACGGGUGAGUAAUGUCUGAGAAACUGCCUGAUGGAGGGGGAUAACUACUGGAAACGGUAGCUAAUACCGCAUACCAUCAGAUGUGCCCAGAUGGGAUUAUCUAGUAGGUGGGGAAACGGCUCACCUAGUCGACGAUCCCUAGCUGGUCUGCGAGGAUGACCAGACACACUGGAACUGCGCCAAGGUCCAGACUCCUAGGGUAGGCAGCAGGGGGGAAUAUUGCACAAUGGGCGCAAGCCUGAUGCAGCCAUGCCGCGUGUGUGAAGAAGGCCUUCGGGUUGUAAAGCACUUUCAGCGGGGAGGCGUUACCCGCAGAAGAAGCACCGGCUAACUCCGUGCCAGCAGCCGCGGUAAUUC
rnacentral:rRNA from 1 species